UUUGGGCUUCUUAUUACUCUCAAUAGGUAUUGACAGGCUUGUGGACCAGAUUUGCAUUGCACUCUCUGAGUCUGUUUCUCCGAUGUUCAUCACAUCAAUCACCGCACAAUGAAGCGCGUCUGGAAACUAUCGGACGUAGUCCAAGCUGAGCUGCAAUGUCUCCACAGGCGCUCUCACUCUUCUAAACCCCCCAAAAGCCUGCCGCCACUUUCCCUAUUCACCUUUACAAAGUCCACUAAUUAUAGAUUUACCCGCGGCUGCUGUUCUUCCUCCCGCGCCAACACCUUCCAAACUGUCAUCGGUUUGUUCUCCGACAAGCUCGCAUAUCGGGACGCCAGCGCUAGAGAGGAUUUGGCCAAAAAUGUCUCGUCUUUGACCAUUGAGUUGCUGCAAUACGUCGCGGAUUUGGAAAAGGUUUGUCGGGUUUUGGACGAGAAAGGUUUGCCUUUGUUUCAGAAUCAUAACGAUGGAUCUGCUUUUGUUGAGCUGCUCAAGCAGUUGGGUUCUUGGCCUGACAUAGCACUAGAGGUUGUUUGCUGGAGGAGAAAGCAGUCUGAGUGUGGCACUCCUAUGACUCAAGAAGAGUAUGCAAAGUGUAUCACAUUUGCUGGCAGGAUUAAGAAUGUAGAUCUUGCAGUUGAGCUGUUUACUGAGGCAGCUAACAAGAGGGUUAAGACAACCUCUACUUACAAUGCUCUAAUGGGUGCUUAUAUGUACAAUGGUCUCUGUGAUAAAUGCCAGUCUUUAUUCCGGGACUUGAAAAAGGAACCAAAUAUCCGUCCUUCAAUUGUAACAUACAACAUUCUUAUAUCGGUCUUUGGUCGUUUGGUGCUGGUCGAUCACAUGGAGGCAGCAUUUCAAGGCACAAAGGACUUAAAUCUCUCACCAAAUGUAAGCACAUAUAAUAAUUUAAUUGCUGGAUACCUGACUGCUUGGAUGUGGGAUAGUAUGGAAAAGACUUUUCAGAUGAUGAAUGCACAAGGAGUAAAGCCAGAUAUUAACACUCACUUGCUAAUGCUUCGAGGUUAUGCUCAUGCAGGGAACAUAGAUCGGAUGGAGGAGUUAUAUGGAUUGAUAAAACAUCAUGCUGAUGAUAAUAAAAUCCCACUCAUCAGAGCCAUGAUAUGUGCAUAUUGUAAAAUUUCUAUCACUGAUAGAAUUGAAAAGAUUGAGGCUCUAUUAAGGCUUAUUCCAGAGAAGGGGUAUCGACCUUGGUUGAAUGUGCUACUGAUUAGGGUUUAUGCUCAGGAGGAUUGUUUACUGAAGAUGGAAAAUUCAAUAAAUGAGGCAUUUGAGCGUAGAACCUCUAUAACAAGUGUCAAAAUUAUGCGGACCAUUAUUGCAAGUUAUUUCCGGUGCAAUGCUGUGGACAAACUUGCAAACUUCAUAAAGCGUGCUGAAUGUGCUGGGUGGAUAAUCUUCCGGUCUUUAUAUCACUCCAAAAUGAUUUUGUAUGGAUUGCAAAACCGCUUAGAAGAAAUGGAGAAUGCCGUUAAUGAAAUGGAGAGUUUCAACAUUAAACGCACUAAAAAGACAUUUUGGAUAUUGUACAAGGCCUAUUCAAGAUGUGGUCAGAGACAAAAGGCCGAGCAAGUAAUAGGACUGAUGUGCAAGUAUGGAUAUGAGGUUCCUUUGGAUGUAUUGCCCAUUAUAAUGUUCUGAUUCAUGUAGCAGCACCCUUUGCAUUGCAAGUUGCAGAUAGCAUUCAAUUGUCAUUUUGAAUGAUUCAACAAAUCUUAAGAUGGGAUUGAGGUUGCAAACAGUUUAUAGAAAGUUACAGACAUUGUUGAAUGGACCAAGACAAACUGUAAGCUGAAUAUUUAGAGAAAGUGGAAUUUGAUUUGGUACAUUGCUUGAUGAUUUGCUUUUCUGUGGCAAAGGCAAGCUCAAGUUCUGUCUUUUGACUAUAUUGACUUGACUUCAUUUUUUGAGAAAGUUAGAGCAGAGAAUAGCUACAAUUUUUGCCUAUAUUUAGGAAGUAAUAAAAAGUCUGGGAUUCAACUUUACUGGAGCUAUGUAAUCUCUUGUCAUCUGUGUGCAACCAAAGCUUACUCAAAGGGCUGAAGUGACCCUUAAAGGGUUUUCUGAUGAUAACCCCCCCUCAAUUAUUGAAGGCUUAUCUGAACUUUGAGGUGUAAAAUAUUACAUAUAGGUAGUUGGAACUAAUUUUUGUGACUCAAUUUCAACAAUUUGCUUCCAAUGAAGAUAGGCUUAUCUGAGUUGUGUUCUGGUUUAAGCCUGCGGAGGAAUAAUUUAUUACUGAUAUGUUGUUAUUGAUGUUUAGAAGUAAUUGUAAUUUUGCUGUGGUUGCGGAGGGGAAAAGGAUACAUUAUUUUUUUCUGAAUUAUGUCUCAUUGGUGUCACUUGAAAAAUGAUUCAUUUGAUUUAGUUAAUUCAGGGCUGUGUACAAUGCUUGAGUGA